GACAGAGGGUGCAAACGUUGCUCGGAAUCACUGGGCGUAAAGGGCGUGUAGGCGGGAAGGAAAGUCGGGCGUGAAAUCCCUGGGCUCAACCCCAGGAACUGCACUCGAAACUUCUUUUCUUGAGUGCCGGAGAGGAAAGCGGAAUUCCUGGUGUAGAGGUGAAAUUCGUAGAUAUCAGGAGGAACACCAGUGGCGAAGGCGGCUUUCUGGACGGUAACUGACGCU
rnacentral:rRNA from 1 species